rnacentral:rRNA from 1 species
CCUACGGGUGGCUGCAGUGGGGAAUAUUGGACAAUGGGCGAAAGCCUGAUCCAGCCAUGCCGCGUGUGUGAAGAAGGCCUUCGGGUUGUAAAGCACUUUCAGUGGGGAAGAAAGCCUUGGGGCUAAUACCCUCGAGGAAGGACAUCACCAACAGAAGACGCACCGGCUAACUCCGUGCCAGCAGCCGCGGUAAUACGGAGGGUGCGAGCGUUAAUCGGAAUUACUGGGCGUAAAGCGCGCGUAGGCGGUCUGAUAAGCCGGUUGUGAAAGCCCCGGGCUCAACCUGGGAACGGCAUCCGGAACUGUCAGGCUAGAGUGCAGGAGAGGAAGGUAGAAUUCCCGGUGUAGCGGUGAAAUGCGUAGAGAUCGGGAGGAAUACCAGUGGCGAAGGCGGCCUUCUGGACUGACACUGACGCUGAGGUGCGAAAGCGUGGGUAGCAAACAGGAUUAGAUACCCCAGUAGUC